AACGCGAAGAACCUUACCUGGGCUCGAAAUGUAGUGGACCGGGGUAGAAAUAUCCCUUCCCCGCAAGGGGCCGCUAUAUAGGUGCUGCAUGGCUGUCGUCAGCUCGUGUCGUGAGAUGUUGGGUUAAGUCCCGCAACGAGCGCAACCCUUAUCUCCAGUUGCUACCAUUUAGUUGAGCACUCUGGCGAAACCGCCUCGGAUAACGGGGAGGAAGGUGGGGAUGACGUCAAGUCCUCAUGGCCUUUAUGUCCAGGGCUACACACGUGCUACAAUGGCCGGUACAAACCGUCGCAAACCCGCGAGGGGGAGCUAAUCGGAAAAAGCCGGCCUCAGUUCGGAUCGCAGUCUGCAACUCGACUGCGUGAAGCUGGAAUCGCUAGUAAUCGCGGAUCAGAACGCCGCGGUGAAUACGUUCCCGGGCCUUGUACACACCGACUGUAC
rnacentral:rRNA from 1 species